GAGUUUGAUCUUGGCUCAGAUUGAACGCUGGCGGCAUGCCUUACACAUGCAAGUCGAACGGCAGCACGGGAGCUUGCUCCUGGUGGCGAGUGGCGAACGGGUGAGUAAUGCAUCGGAACGUAUCCUGGAGUGGGGGAUAACGUAGCGAAAGUUACGCUAAUACCGCAUAUUCUGUGAGCAGGAAAGCGGGGGGCCUUCGGGCCUCGCGCUCUUGGAGCGGCCGAUGUCGGAUUAGCUAGUUGGUGAGGUAAAGGCUCACCAAGGCGACGAUCCGUAGCAGGUCUGAGAGGAUGAUCUGCCACACUGGAACUGAGACACGGUCCAGACUCCUACGGGAGGCAGCAGUGGGGAAUUUUGGACAAUGGGGGCAACCCUGAUCCAGCCAUGCCGCGUGAGUGAAGAAGGCCU
rnacentral:rRNA from 1 species